UACGGAGGGUGCGAGCGUUAAUCGGAAUUACUGGGCGUAAAGCGCGCGUAGGCGGUUUGGUAAGCUGGAUGUGAAAGCCCUGGGCUCAACCUGGGAACUGCAUCCAGAACUGCCAAGCUAGAGUAUGGUAGAGGACAGUGGAAUUUCCGGUGUAGCGGUGAAAUGCGUAGAGAUCGGAAGGAACACCAGUGGCGAAGGCGACUGUCUGGACCAAUACUGACGCUGAGGUGCGAAAGCGUGGGGAACAAACAGG
rnacentral:rRNA from 1 species